rnacentral:rRNA from 1 species
UACGUAGGUGACAAGCGUUGUCCGGAUUACUGGGCGUAAGAGCGCGCAGGCGGUCGAUCAAGUCGAGUGUGAAAGCCCCGGCUCAACUGGGGAGGGUCAUCGAUACUGAUCGACUCGAAGGCAGGAGAGGGUAGUGGAAUCCCGGUGUAGUGGUGAAUGCGCAGAUAUCAGGAAGACACCGUGGCGAAGGCGGCUCUCUGGGACGGUACUGACGCUGAGACGCGAAAGCGUGGGGAGCGAACAGG